GCCAUAAUUAACACCAUUGUGGGAGCUUUUGCAAGGAGAAAGGGCCUUCUCUAACUUCAACAUCCCUCCAAUGCGACAAGGCUUAAGCUCAGCAUAAGUCCAGAAGAAGUUAAGAUAGUAAAUAGUCCAGAAAUAAACGAUAAACACUUCUAGGCACCAACAGCAGCCAGAAACUUCCUCUUACUAACGGGUUCCUCUUGCACAAUCACUAUAUCUUUCACUUUUGCUAGUAGCUGCUCAAGUUCAACCACUCCAAAGCUCUCGUAGUCUAAUUGCCUCUUGUACCUUUGUUGAUAUAUUGCGUCAAAACAACCAAGAAAAAUCCGACAAGAGUAGCUAACAAGUAUCUCUUGAAGUUCAUACUUGAAAUUUUCAAGGCUUUUUUCAACCAUAUUAGAUUUCUCACAGCUCCCCCCAUGCUCUUUUAUGGGUCCUCUUUCAUCAUCA
rnacentral:misc_RNA from 1 species